UCACCUCGAAAAAAAUCAAAUACAAUGCACAGACAUUCCUAUACAAUGUCAGCACUAACAUGGCACUGCAUUGUACAAGCACAUAAUAUGAGAAAACAUUCUAGCUUGUUUUUCUCUUGAUUUGUGUGAAAACCAUUACAUUCAUGUGCCCUCAAUUUAUAUGAAUUUUGCGAUUGUAAAAUGUUGCAAAAUUUAAGGACAUGCAAAGUAUUUAGGAAGUAAAUGUGGACAAUAAGCUGAUGCAUCCCUUGGACAAGUAUGCAAAGUAAAAGGCUAAACAGAUUGCACUGUUUCAAG